UACGGAGGGGGCUAGCGUUGUUCGGAAUCAUUGGGCGUAAAGGGCGUGUAGGCGGUUUGUUAAGUCAUGUGUGAAAUCCCCGGGCUUAACCUGGGAAUGGCAUUUGGGACUGCAAGGCUUGAGUGCGGCAGAGGAGACUGGAAUUCCUGGUGUAGCAGUGAAAUGCGUAGAUAUCAGGAGGAACACCGAUGGCGAAGGCAGGUCUCUGGGCUGACACUGACGCUCAUGCACGAAAGCGUGGGGAGCAAACAGG
rnacentral:rRNA from 1 species